GGUUCGUACGAAGUUCGUUCUUAAAUGGAGUGGUCAGUGUUUUGCAUAGUUCUAGAGAUUGGAUUUCACUCAAAACCAGCCAAAUGACUCCUAUCCCCAUGUUAUGAUGUGCCCCAAAUUUUGAACUUAAUUUGAUAUCGAUUGGUCCAAGAAAUUUGACAAUUCAGGUUCGUACGAAGUUCGUUCUGAAAUGGAGUGGUCGGUGUAUCGCAUAGUUCUAGAGAUUGGAUUUCACUCAAAACCAAACAAAUGACACCUCCC
rnacentral:lncRNA from 1 species